rnacentral:rRNA from 1 species
AGCAGCCGCGGUAAUUCCAGCUCCAAUAGCGUAUAUUGAAGUUGUUGUGGUUAAAAAGCUCGUAGUUGAACCUUGGGCCUGGCUGGCCGGUCCGCCUCACCGCGUGUACUGGUCCGGCCGGGCCUUUCCCUCUGUGGAACCCUAUGCCCUUCACUGGGUGUAGCGGGGAAACAGGACUUUUACUUUGAAAAAAUUAGAGUGCUCCAGGCAGGCCUUUGCUCGAAUACAUUAGCAUGGAAUAAUAAAAUAGGACGUGUGGUUCUAUUUUGUUGGUUUCUAGGACCGCCGUAAUGAUUAAUAGGGACAGUCGGGGGCAUCAGUAUUCAAUUGUCAGAGGUGAAAUUCUUGGAUUUAUUGAAGACUAACUACUGCGAAAGCAUUUGCCAAGGGUGUUUUCAUUAAUCAGGAACGAAAGUUAGGGGAUCGAAGACGAUCAGAUACCGUCGUAGUCUUAACCAUAAACUAUGCCGACUAGGGAUCGGACGAUGUUAAAAAUUGAACUCG